rnacentral:lncRNA from 1 species
UGGGAACGGGGAUUAAGAUUAACAAGUUAUCAAUUUUUUUUUUUUUUUUUUUUCUCUAAAAUUUGGGUUCGGGGAACAAACAGAAUCUCUUUAUCACAUGUGAAAUCCGGUGGAUCUAUGUCGAAUUGGUAGGUCCAUGUAUCCAUGUAUCAAUCAAAUAAGUUUCGUUCCGUUCUGAUGGGGUCAGAUCAAUUUAAGUCAAUU